AGAAAAGACGGGUUUUAUUCUUUAGAACAGACCUGCUGUAUUUCUGAGCUCCUAUUGUAUAGUUAACGUUGUAAGAAGCAACACAAGGUACUUCAAUCAGUAAGCUAAUGCUUAUCUUUUAGCUGGUCUGUAGUUCUUAGAAUGGAACCUUCAAGGUAAAAGAUUCUUAUCUCAUGUGCCUUCGAGGGCCCCCCUUAAUAAAAAAACCUGUCUAUUCUGUCUUAUGCCCACCGCUUGAAAUUAGUAAUAAGUAAAGGUAAAUAGUCGAUCUUAGGACUGCUAGAUCCCUAAAAAUGUAUACACCAGGUCAGUAUUCUGUCAGUGCAGAUCUGGGCAAUUACCGAUUAGAUGUCCUGAGCCCCUGACUCACGCGUUUCGCCAGGAUCGCUCAUCAGAGGGGAACUGAAGACAAGCAAGUGUCUGAUUUUUAAACUAGCAACUCAUCGAUGGUUGGCUGAGCACUUUGUACAGCCUGCCAAUCAUGAGAGAGGAGGGCAUCCUCUUAUUUGCAAACUAUUUAACCCUUACGUUGCUUACCUAAUACAUGAAAAGAAAUCUCUUAUGGAGUAAAUGUUAAUAAUUCAUAUCUCAUCCGUAUGUUAUGUUGUAAUGGC